GCACCGGUCCUCGAACACUACGCCCGGCAGCUGACCUUUACCUGACCUCUGACCCUGUUCCGUGCCGCCGGGCGCUCCAAACCAGUUCUAGCCUCUACCCCGGGUCCUCAGCUGAGACCAUAGGUACUAUGCCGAGUGAGGGGCAGCUCGUGCUUGGCAAACGGGGCCGGCGCACAGUAGGCGAUCGGGCAUGUAGAUUGUAGAGUGCAUAGCCAAGCGAAACCCAUCGAUGUUCAUAACUUGCAUGCUUUCCAUGCUGGGACUCGUAUAUUUCAGACCAGCAGUCUCUAAUAUCUGUUGAACGAUUGCAGUAUUAUGGCGCAUCAUAAAAGUCACUCUGACCUUCUAAUCGUUUAUUUAUCCUUAUGUAUGACAGGUAUAGCAAGACAUAUCGAAUUUCUCAUCACGAACUACAAUUUGGCCUUAACUCGCGGCCCACACUGGGGUCUGCGUAUAACACGUCCUACGGGGGGAUUCAUAGCCCCCCCCCCCCCUCCUACCUCCGAAACUACUGUGCCGAUCGUCAAAAUUUAAACCGCGGCGUCUGAUAGCCCCGGAAACCUGUCGAGCGAAACCUAAUUUCAUUGACCUCGAAGUCACCGAUGACGUCACAGGUCAGGUCAAAGUAAAAAUUAUCAAUGUUUGGCUUGUUCACAAUUUGGGUUCUGGCCGCCGGCUUACAAGUCAGAACAAGCUCAUUUUUGGUUUACACACUCGUGAACAGAUAAUUUAGAUACUCUAAGGGUACCAAACUUGUACUUUGAUUUUCAGUUCAGGGUCAGGUCAUCACAGGUCACGGAAAGCUUAUAUCAUGCAUCGGUCACGUGACACAUGUUUUAUAAUCCGUUUAGGCCAUAAAUUUCGGAUUCGAUGUCGUUUAUGUCAUUCGAGGUCAUGUUGAGUUGAAUUUAGCUUAUAGCUCAGGCCGAAAUCGCGAAAUGCGUCGAAAUCGGAAUCGAAAUCGAAAUCGGCCGAACAUGACGUCACUCUGACGUCAAUUCCGGUCAACCUAUGGUAGCUACGAAGUUCAAAUUUUGACACAAGGUGUCAAGUUGAUGCAUCCAAAGGUACUGAAAGUUUGACGUCGAUACGUCAAGCGGUUUAGAAGUUAUUGCAGAAAAUUGGGAGGGGCUAUGAAUAGCCCCCCCCCCCCCAGUGGGGCGCGGGUUAAGCCGAUUUGAAAAUUUGACCUAAGGUCAAGGUGACCUGACCGGAAAAGGCCAUGUUCCAUACCAGCGAUCCGCAUCGUCGACCCGAAUACAUUCAAGUGGUUGCUUUGGCUCUAAGUGUCUACCAAAAGUUAUUGCCGAAAAACUGCUAUUUAGAUUUACAUUUCAUGACCUAAGACGACCUCGUGUCUAAGACAUGGGUACACCAUAUUUUAGCACUGUGCAGAUGUUUACUUACGACGUCGGCAAGAAUUUGUUUGGGACUUUGACACGCAUAUCCGUAAAAAUUUAGGCAUUGGAAUUCAAAAUUAUAUCCCGAAAGGUAAUUUCGGGGGCGAAGACGGUUAACCUAAAUCGUUUCAGUUAAUUGCGACUUUUAAAAAUAAAUCUCAGUCAGCCAAUCUUUUGAAAGCCGUGGCUGUGGCUGUGACGCCUGUCUCGGCUGGCGCUCGUUUCAGACUCGGACGACGUGGAGGCGAUUCUGGCCGAGUUUCGGGAGAACGGCCGCGACACCGAGUACCGUCCCGAGGCGGAGCUGUUGAGCGCGCGCCUCCUCACCCGGCCGCUGCUCGAGGCCAGGCGCAAGAGCAAGAAGAGUCUGCCCGACCUCUGCGUGUUCUGCAAGAACAACGGCGAGACGGCGCAGUUCUACUCCAACCACAUCCUCAAGGACCAGCGGGGCAUCGUGCGGUGUCCCGUGCUGCGCGCCUACACGUGCCCCACGUGCGGCGCGCGCGGCGACAACGCGCACACCAUCAAGUACUGCCCGCAGAGGCCCGUCUGCAAGCCGGUGCUGCCGCGCAUGAUCCGCAAGACGGUCCACUACUGACUGCCGACGCCGGCGCCCCGGGCGGUGUCGAGUGGAACUGGGUGUUCGCCUGUGCGAGCGACGCACCAUUACUGUUGUCACCGUGGGAUGUCUAUUGGGGCCGUAUCAUCGACGGAAUGAGAAGGGACAGUGAGCGAUAUCCACGUGUCUUUCCAUGUUUUAUGUUAAUUCUUAAAUAAUGUAAGAUAAAAAUACCAUAGCACCACGGGUGGUAAUGGUGCAUUUGUCUAACAUUGUUCAUGAAUUAAUCCGUCAAAGAUUACAUGUUUUAUGUUUAGUGCUUGUGUGUGCGUGUGAUAUCAUAUGUGAUGCACCAAGUGAGUGCGCGCGUCUUAAGAGGAUCGUUUUUGUUUUAUUGUAUGCAUUGGGAUGUCGUAUUGGGAAGGUAACCGUUUUACAGAAAUAUCUACAGCGGCCAAGUGCGAAUCAUACAUUGGCGACUUGUUUUGUUUUAUUGUCAUGCCUCAUAUUUAUAUGUGAUUCGCUCAUCUGUUAGCGGUACGAAAUUCGUCCAAUAAAUUAUUUUGAAAGAAA